rnacentral:lncRNA from 1 species
CGAAGCUUCUGCCAGGGAGAGGGGGCCUCAGUGGACAGCGGGCAAAGGGAGCCCUGGUCCCCCUUCAGCAGCCCCUCCUCCUGCAGAUGCCUUGCCCAGUGCCCUGGAAAGGCUGUCCUUUUGUCCUCUAAACAGAGCUGCAGUUUUGGAGGCCUGUGGCAUGCUCCCUGUGCCCACUCUUGCCUGGCAUCUCCAGAUGCCAUCAUGGGGCAGGCAUUUGCUGCGUCUGCAGAAAAGGCAGGAGUGACUGGAAAUGACCUCCACGCUCCCCGCCCCUCCCUGGCCAGGGAGCACAGGCCUGGGGAACCGUGCGGCCUGCCUACCAGCUGCCCUCUUCGGGCCUCCAUCUUUCUAGAUGGGUGGGAGUUCACCUGCUUGGGCUGCUCAGAGUGUUGGGACGGGAGAGCAGGGCUGCCUGUUCCACAUGAUGCCUUGCUAUGUUGAAAUGCUUCAGUGCCCCAAGGAAUCCAUGCCUCUGCCUACAAAGCCUCCCCCACCUGCCCACACCACUGACUUCUUCCUCUGACCUCUUGCAGCAUGACUGGGUAAGCCCACACCUGGCACCUGUUUCCUGCUGAUUUGCUCAUUCUUUCUCACCCAGGGUGUUGCAAAAGCCUCCCAAAUGGUUGUCCCGGUUCUCCUCUGCACUCUGCGCUCCAUUCUCCAUCUGCACUUAGAAGGAUUAAAAGAGAGCAUUUUAUUGGAGUAUACUUCUUAGUAUAAAGUUAAUGUAAAGUGCUCCAAUCUCAAAUGUGUGUUAUUGUUCAGUUGCUCAGUCGUGUCUGACUCUUUGGGACCCCAUGGACUGCAGCACACCAGGCCUCCCUGUCCCUCACCAUCUCCUGGAGUUUGCCCAAGUUCACGUCCAUUGCCUCGGUGACACCACCCAGCUAUGCGUAGCUGGGUGUAUUUCUGCAUAUGUAUACACCAUGUAAAUGUCUCAUUGAUUGAGAUACAGAACAGCCCAGCAGGUUCACCUGUGCCCCUUUCCAAUCCAUAAUCUCCCCAGAGGUAACCAGUAUUCAGACUUUAAUCCCCAAAGUUAAUUUCACCUACUCUUGAGUUUUAUUUAAAUGGGACCACAUAGCAGAUACUCAUUCUGUCUCCCUUUCUUUCAGCAUCAUUUGUGAGAGCCGUGCAUCCAGUUGCCUGUAUUGGGAAGUUCUUCUUUUUCACUGCUGUGUAGUAUUUCAUUGAAGGAAGGCGCCAUCAGUUAAUUCUCCUCUCUUCAGUAGUUGGAUGUUAGAGUUGUUUUCAGUCUUUAGCUGUGACAACCAUUCUUGUGCACAUUCUUGGUGGUCAUUGGCUUUCAUUUCUCUUGGGUAAAUACCUGUGAGUGGAAGUUAGAUCAUCGCACAGGCAUGUGUUUAGUCUCAAUAAACAUUGCCGAACAAUUUCCCA